rnacentral:tRNA from 1 species
UCCCAUGUGGCUCAGUUGGUAGAGCAUGGUGUUUGCAACGCUAGGGUUGUGGGUUCGAUUCCCACGGGGGAC